CGACUUAAAUUAAAAUAUAAAUUUUAAUUGUACCCAACAUGAAUACUCAAUUUGUCAAUCUUUCUCUGUUCUUUUCAAAGCAAGUCACAAGAAAAGAGCCAUUUCAUUUCAUUUCUUUGGAUCUCAAAAUAAUUUGUCGAUAUUUCUGAUAAAAUCUUCUUGUUCCUAGAUUUUUAUGGGAAUAAAUUGUUAUUCCCUUCCUCUACAGAGACAUUUUUUCCAAGUCACAAGAUAAGAGCCAUUUCCAUUAUCUUUCUUUGAUUACAGAUCAAGAUGAAUUUAUAUCUAUCUAAGUAUAUUUAGAUAGAUAUUUGUCAGAUCGUAGCUUCAUGUACCAAACAUUUCUAUAUCGCUGCAUUCAAUAGUUUUGUUCUGACGGUGUGAUGGAGAAUGGGUGAGAGCAAGAGACUUCGAUUUUUUUUUUUGAAGGAAAAAAAUAGGAAAUUCUCUCUUUCUAAGAUAUUAAAUGCAAUAGAAAAAUAUUCGAAGUGUUUUCUUUUGUUUUGCUUUCACCUGUAGAAAGAUAUACCAUGGAGUUUUUGAUUUAUCUAAAAGAAAAAGAGAUAGAACAAAGAAGACAUGCAAAGAAAAUGAAAAAAAGGGAAUAAAAUAAUGUAAUUGGAAUAGUUUAGUAUACAUAGAAAUUAGAAUAAUCUAUAAAUAUCUUUAUUUUCUCAAUCUCGUGAACAAAAUCUAAGAAUAACAUUAGCUAAUCGAACAAGAGGGGGUAGAUCAGAGAAUCAGUUAGUAGUAAGAAAGGGGAUUGCUUGUUCCUUGAAAAGUUCUUUCAAAGGAUUCAUCUAUGUGAUUGUUGAAUCAUAAGAAGACAAUUCAUGAUUUAUAUUCUUAGUAAGAAAGAAUAAUCAAGUUAU
rnacentral:lncRNA from 1 species